AUCAGAUGAAUGUUUACCCUCUCAGUCGCAGUUAUGAAGAAGCAGCUAUCUCUUCCUUUUGUGCCGGAAAGCAAGUCAACUUUCUGAAUGAUUUUUAGGAAAAGACAAAGGACGGAAGCAAUUCUGAUAAGACAGUGCUCAAGCAGAUGCAAAAUACAGGCAUCAUGCAGCCAUCUGUGAUGCUGGAAUGAAGACGGGUGCCUCUGCUGCCUACAAGACCAAUUUCAUCGAAUCUUGUCAUAUGAAGCCUGGAAAAAAAGAGGACUGAAUUAAGAACAUUUUUGUUAGGUAGAAAACCCAGUGGGGCUGGAUUGUCUUUUGGCCUUUGAACCCCUGUAGAUUUUGUUUUUUUCUCUCCAACUUAACUGGAGUUUUUUUUUGUUUGUACUGUCCUCCCGGGCUUCUAACCUUAUCGCCAGGACUCAUCUUUAGAGA